GGUUUUAUUCAUUUUGGCCAGACUUUUGAACUCUGCAUUGGUAAUGGGAUAAUGUCUUAAGUAGAUUACAUCUAUGAGGUCAUGUUAUCUCUGCUGUGGCCUUGACGUAAGGUCGGGAAGGUGUAACUUGUUUAUCACGGCCGGAGCAUUGCGGGACUCUCUCUGCCAGUCACUAACGGUACUUGUCAUCUGAUCAAAGGUGCUAGUACCUGUAUGCAGCAAGGGAUAAACUAACAAGACGUUCCAACCAAAGGAUUCAAGCCAGUAAGGUACUGACAAGGGCUGGGACGAGUCCAAAUUUACUACCCGGGUACCCACUGCAAGUCUCAAGAGUUGGGAGCAAAAUGUCUGAUUGACUAUGUCAAUUAAAGAAAAACUGCCGUCAUUUCUGGUUGAUAUUGAGAAGGACUUGGAUCAUACAGUGAAAUUCUGUCUGGAAAACUCUCAUGAUGAGGAAUUUGGGUUUGUAUCCGACUUAUUUCUGCAUCAUUGUUGUGAUGAAGAGUAACUGUUUAAAAAUAAUGUGGAAUUUACCUUUAAGCCUGAAACACAUAGGCACGUACAUUAUUACCUUGGACCAGUUAGGCUUAAAAAAUACAAGAAUUGGU